rnacentral:rRNA from 1 species
GUGUCAGCAGCCGCGGUAAUACGUAGGGGGCUAGCGUUGUCCGGAUUUAUUGGGCGUAAAGCGCGUGUAGGCGGCCAGAUAGGUCCGUUGUGAAAACUCGAGGCUUAACCUCGAGACGCCGACGGAAACCAUUUGGCUAGAGUCCGGAAGAGGAGAGUGGAAUUCCUGGUGUAGCGGUGAAAUGCGCAGAUAUCAGGAAGAACACCUAUGGCGAAGGCAGCUCUCUGGGACGGUACUGACGCUGAGACGCGAAAGCGUGGGGAGCGAACAGGAUUAGAUACCCGCGUAGUCC